rnacentral:rRNA from 1 species
CGAACGCUGGCGGCGUGCUUAACACAUGCAAGUCGAACGGAAAGGCCCUGCUUUUGUGGGGUGCUCGAAUGGCGAACGGGUGAGUAACACGUGAGUAACCUGCCCUUGACUUUGGGAUAACUUCAGGAAACUGGGGCUAAUACCGGAUAGGAGCUCCUGCUGCAUGGUGGGGGUUGGAAAGUUUCGGCGGUUGGGGAUGGACUCGCGGCUUAUCAGCUUGUUGGUGGGGUAGUGGCUUACCAAGGCUUUGACGGGUAGCCGGCCUGAGAGGGUGACCGGCCACAUUGGGACUGAGAUACGGCCCAGACUCCUACGGGAGGCAGCAGUGGGGAAUAUUGCACAAUGGGCGGAAGCCUGAUGCAGCAACGCCGCGUGCGGGAUGACGGCCUUCGGGUUGUAAACCGCUUUCGCCUGUGACGAAGCGUGAGUGACGGUAAUGGGUAAAGAAGCACCGGCUAACUACGUG